rnacentral:rRNA from 1 species
UACGAAGGGGGCUAGCGUUACUCGGAUUGACUGGGCGUAAAGGGCGCGUAGGCGGUUUGUACAGUCAGACGUGAAAUUCCUGGGCUCAACCUGGGGGCUGCGUUUGAUACGUGCAGACUUGAGUUCGGAAGAGGGUCGUGGAAUUCCCAGUGUAGAGGUGAAAUUCGUAGAUAUUGGGAAGAACACCGGUGGCGAAGGCGGCGACCUGGUCCGAAACUGACGCUGAGGCGCGAAAGCUGGGGGAGCAAACGGG